rnacentral:rRNA from 1 species
CCUACGGGAGGCAGCAGUAGGGAAUCUUUCACAAUGGGCGAAAGCCUGAUGGAGCAACGCCGCGUGCAGGAUGAAGGCCUUCGGGUUGUAAACUGCUUUUAUAAGCGAGAAAUAUGAUGGUAACUUAUGAAUAAGGAUCGGCUAACUACGUGCCAGCAGCCGCGGUUAUACGUAGGAUCCGAGCAUUAUCCGGAGUGACUGGGUGUAAAGAGUUGCGUAGGUGGCAUAAUAAGUAGCUAGUGGAAUCUGGUGGCUCAACCAUUCAGACUAUUAGCUAAACUGUUAAGCUUGAGACUGUUAGGGGUAACUGGAAUUUGUAGUGUAGGAGUGAAAUCCGUAGAUAUUAGAAAGAACACCAAUAGCGUAGGCAGGUUACUGGGACGGUUCUGACACUAAGGCACGAAAGCGUAGGGAGCAAACGGGAUUAGAUACCCGUGUAGUC